CGCUGCACAUUUUAAAUCAGGGUUGGUUCUGCUUCGGAAUCUGGAGAAUUCGGAAGGUUAAAAAAAGAAAAAGAAAAAGCUUUCGGGGAGGCAUGCUCCAAAAACGGCACAUUCUGCGCCCACCUUCGUGUCCCCAAAAGAGUGAGGAGAGAAGGGAAGAAGGGAGGCAACUGCCCUUGUGCCGUAUCCCGCUGCCCACCCUCUCCGGCCGCCCGGGAGAGCGCAGCCUUGAGCCGGGGCUGGGGCUGGGGCAGUGGUUGGCGGCUGCAGCCGGCGGAACCGCUACUCACGGACGCGCUGGAUGCGUCCCGCGGGACCUCACCUCAGGGCCUCAAGGUCUAGCUAUGCUAAUGACACACAGUUUAUCUCAAUCAUGUAUAGAGGAUACACAAGAAGACUCCAGGAGGGGUGGAGCCAUUAGAGGAUUCCAUCCAGGACACCACAUUUAAUUGUUAUGAUGUCUUGGGCUCCUCUUGGCUGUGAGAGUUUCUCAGGUUUUCCUUGUAUCUGAUGACCUUCACAGUCCUUAAGAGUACAGGUAAAUACCUAGCAGUGAAAUGGCUGGAUAAAUUAAGGAAAGACUGUGAGGGCACAGCAAGAAGGCAGCCAUCUGUAAGCCAGGAAGGGAGGCCUCACCAGAAAGCAACUCUGGUACCUUGACCUCAGAUUUCCAGCCUGCAGAACAGUGACAAAAUAAAUCCUGUCAUUUAA